GACCUCGUAGCUCAGUUGGCAGAGCAUUGGGUUAGUAUUCCAAAGGUCGUAGGUUCAAUUCCCACCGUGGCCA
rnacentral:tRNA from 1 species